rnacentral:rRNA from 1 species
AGUUCGGAUCGCAGUCUGCAACUCGACUACAUGAAGCUGGAAUCGCUAGUAAUCGCGGAUCAGAAUGCCGCGGUGAAUACGUUCCCGGGUCUUGUACACACCGCCCGUCACACCAUGGGAGUCAGUAACGCCCGAAGCCGGUGACCUAACCGAAAGGGAGGAGCCGUCGAAGGUGGGACCGAUAACUGGGGUGAAGUCGUAACAAGGUAUC